rnacentral:rRNA from 1 species
AUUGAACGCUGGCGGAAUGCUUUACACAUGCAAGUCGAACGGCAGCACGGGGGCAGCCCUGGUGGCGAGUGGCGAACGGGUGAGUAAUACAUCGGAACGUGCCCGGUCGUGGGGAUAAAGGAGCCAAAGUUACGCUAAUACCGCCAACGAACUGGGGGUGGAAGCGGGGGGCCUUUGGGCCUUCGCCGGUCGGGGGGGCCGAUGUCCGAUUAGGUAGUUGGUGGGGUAAAGGCCUACCAAGCCGACGAUCUGUAGCUGGUCUGAGAGGACGACCAGCCACACUGGGACUGGGACACGGCCCAGACUCCUACGGGAGGCAGCAGUGGGGAAUUUUGGACAAUGGGCGCAAGCCUGAUCCAGCCAUUCCGCGUGCAGGACGAAGGCCUUCGGGUUGUAAACUGCUUUUGUACGGAACGAAAAGGCUCUGGCUAAUACCUGGGGCUCAUGACGGUACCGGAAGAAUAAGCACCGGCUAACUACGUG